ACCGAGGCUGCCUUUGUUCAGGCGGGACGCUCAAGUUGAUUCAGGGAGUCCCGUCAAAUUAUGAGAGUGAUGAUAGUUUUCCUCAUGGAUUCACACACAUUAUGACUCACUACCUGACAGAAGCAUACUGUCGUACACCUCCAGCAGGUCCUGGCUGAUCAAGUCCCACAGAGCUGAGUACAACUCGACUGGAUAUGGGCAUCACCGGAAAGGCUGGCAUUUGUUACCCAUCCCUAACCGCUCUGAACAGAGUCACUUGCUCAGCCAUCACAGCAGACAUUACUGCGGGUCUGAGUCACAAGUUAGUCAGAACAGAUCGAUAUAUGUAUCUGAAGACUGAAUCGCAUCAACAGCCUUGUUUUCUGUGAUUUUUGAAUACUUGCUC